UGUUCAUGUUAUGAACAAUUCGUAUUUUGAAAAAAAAAAGCGACAAGAACUUUCGCAUUCAUUUUACUCGAAGAAAGGGUGGUUUAUUUUGAGCGUGUACAGUUUUGUUUAUAGUUUGUGAAAAAAAACUGGCAUGGUGUAGAAGACUUCAAAAAGCAGUCUAGAAGUGACCUUUUUAUUGGUGGUAGGCAAGAGGCGGAUCAUUGGCAGCUUUACAGUGUAAUAAUGAUCUUUGAAGCUAAUGGUUUGACACUGAUGGUUACCGCCUUCACCUAUCAAUGCAGUUAGGCGGGUAUCAUUGUUCUAUCUCACCAACGGGAUACCAUAAAAGCUAAUACAGAUUCAACAGUGAAGCUUCGAGUAAAGCUCACUUCGAUCCACCCAGGGGAAAACAAAUCAUAAGACAAUUCAAAUUCCCUUCGCCAGUAGCAGAAGCUACGGCGUGUUGAGUAAGUAUGGUGAACUGCGUCAUCAGCGCCUUCGAAUUCAGCGAUUAUGCAUCAAUGUUAAGUGACAGCAAUUCGUGGUGAGAUUCGUGGCUCAAUUAAAUAAAAAAAUAAAUAAAAUGUAAUUUGCAAUAUAUAAAAAUCUCGGGUACUUAUUAAAAAGGACGUAUGUGAUUUUGUAAACAAAGAUUCAAACGUCACUUUGUCUAAACUGAUAGCACUCCCACGCAAACCAUCACCACAGGCAGGCAGGGGAAGCCUUCGGCUACCUGUUGGUGGGAGUGCCAUCAGAUUGAACAAAUCGAUGUUUGAAUCUUUGUUUACGAAAUCACAUACGUCCUUUUGAAUAAGUA